AAUGUGUGCUACUGUCAUCCGGAGUGUAGUAUUCAGGAGGGGGUCUCACAUUUAGGCUGGUUUAUCAGGCUAAUCAUGUUGGUUUGCACAUCGGAUCCGUCGCCGGGGACAAGGCUACCUCUUCAAAGACCCGUCAAUCAUGUGUUGUGAAACAAACGACGUGAAGGCCUACUUUAGAAUUACAAGGACUACAGAAGAAAUGGGAUCCCAAAUUGAAACUGGAAGCAGAUCAUGGGUCACACCCAAUGAUACACCGCUGAGCGAAAAAGAGAUGCAAUACUUCACACCCUGAAGAUGUACCUGGGGGGAAUUGCCAGAAGAUUUUUUGUGUGGGUAAGAACCUUUUUCUAUUCUGGUUGCAGGUCCUUCACCCAUUGAUGCCUAAAGAACAUGCAAAAAAUUCCAGCUGAAUGCCUAAGCCGAUUUUGAGAAAAGUUUCCCUCAGCAUAUGAAAACAAAAAUAUCUUAGCCUCUGAAGCACAUUAAAACAUGACAGCAAUUGCAUUUAAACACAAAGACCCCCAUCUUGCAUUAGAAUGUGUUCAUCCAGCUCUAACAUACCAACAUUUUUAAUUAAAAAUAACUCAUGAGCCUGAAAGUUGCGUCAUGCUGCACUUUGGACA